rnacentral:lncRNA from 1 species
GUUGAUUGCAAGUCCCACAUCCUUUAGUGUGGGAGAAUAAGGAGAAAGCCAAGGCUAUAUAUUGGGUUUUGGUCCUUUGUUUUCAAAUGCACUAGUCAACCAUAUCACUUUAAGCUUGUAGCUGACUUAGUUUAAAUAUUUGCUUUGUAAGAGUGUGGUUGUACUGGGGUGUCUGGUGUGAGUGAGAGAAGUCUAUGUGUAACAAUUUUCACAUAGUGUUAAUUCUCUGGUUAUGCUAUUUUUCCCAACAACCGAUAUCAGAGCAUACUAAGAAAAAUUAUCCUACCAAACCUCCGAACCUGGCUCUGAUACCAGUUGUUAGCAUAAGUUCAAAAGAAUUAAGACACAAUCACAACACAAAAAUAUAACGUUGAAACUCCAAAACCGCAAAAAUAUAACGUGGAAACUCCAAAACCGGAGAAAAAACCACGACCGCUGCCUAAACCAGCAACCAGAGAAUUAACACUAUGUAAAAAUUGUUACAACACAUAGACUUCUCUCACUCACACCAGGCAAAUAUUUAAACUAAGUCAGAUACAAGCUUAAAGUGCUAUGGUUGACUGGUGCAUUUGAAAACAAAGG